UACGUAGGAUCCAAGCGUUGUCCGGAUUUACUGGGUGUAAAGGGUGCGCAGGCGGACUUGUAAGUCGGUGGUGAAAUCUCACAGCUUAACUGUGAAACUGCCUCCGAUACUGCAAGUCUUGGAUCCAGAAGAGAGUUGUGGAAUUCCGAGUGUAGCAGUGAAAUGUGUAGAUAUUCGGAAGAACACCAGAGGCGAAGGCAACAACUUGGUCUGGUAUCGACGCUCAGGCACGAAAGCAUGGGGAUCAAACAGG
rnacentral:rRNA from 1 species